GACGAACGCUGGCGGCGUGCUUAACACAUGCAAGUCGAACGGAAAGGCCCUGCUUUUGUGGGGUGCUCGAGUGGCGAACGGGUGAGUAACACGUGAGUAACCUGCCCUUGACUUUGGGAUAACUUCAGGAAACUGGGGCUAAUACCGGCUAGCAGCUCCUGCUGCAUGGUGGGGGUUGGACAGUUUCGGCGGGUGGGGAUGGACUCGGGGGUUAUGAGCUUGUUGGGUGGGUAGUGGCUUACCCAGGGUUUGACGGAUAGCCGGCCUGAGAGGGUGACCGGCCACAUGGGGACUGAGAGACGGCGCAGACUCCAACGGGAGGCAGCAGUGGGGAAUAUUGCACAAUGGGCGGGAGCCUGAUGCAGCAACGCCGCGUGCGGGAUGACGGCCUGCGGGGUGUAAAACGCUUUCGGCUGUGACGAAGCGUGAGUGACGGUAAUGGGUAAAGAAGCACCGGCUAACUACGUG
rnacentral:rRNA from 1 species